GUCUAUGGCCAUACCACCGUGAACACACCCAAUCUCGUCUGAUCUUGGAAGCUAAGCAGGGUCAGGCCUGGUUGGAAGAACCUCUAUAACAGUCAUUGUUCUAGGUGCCAAAUCAU
rfam:Erinaceus europaeus unplaced genomic scaffold scaffold00350, whole genome shotgun sequence